rnacentral:sRNA from 1 species
CCCAGGGCUACGCCCUGGGCUGUGAUGAAGCCGCCCCUUCGGGGCU